GGGUAGCCGGCCUGAGAGGGCGACGGCCACACUGGGACUGAGAGACGGCCCAGAGUCUAGGGGAGGCAGCAGUGGGGAGGACUGCACAAUGGGCGCAAGCCUGAGGCAGCGACGCCGCGUGAGGGAGGACGGCCUUCGGGUUGUAAACCUCUUUCAGUACCGACGAAGCGCAAGUGACGGUAGGUACAGAAGAAGCACCGGCCAACUACGUGCCAGCAGCCGCGGUAAUACGUAGGGUGCGAGCGUUGUCCGGAAUUACUGGGCGUAAAGAGCUCGUAGGCGGUUUGUCGCGUCGUCUGUGAAAACCCGCAGCUCAACUGCGGGCUUGCAGGCGAUACGGGCAGACUUGAGUACUGCAGGGGAGACUGGAAUUCCUGGUGUAGCGGUGAAAUGCGCAGAUAUCAGGAGGAACACCGGUGGCGAAGGCGGGUCUCUGGGCAGUAACUGACGCUGAGGAGCGAAAGCGUGGGUAGCGAACAGGAUUAGAUACCCUGGUAGUCCACGCCGUAAACGGUGGGCGCUAGGUGUGGGUUUCCUUCCACGGGAUCCGUGCCGUAGCUAACGCAUUAAGCG
rnacentral:rRNA from 1 species